AUAUAAUCAACCUUCUCUUGUUUUGAGAAUGGUUUGGACGUGGGGGGUUUGCUGGCCUCUUAAGAGGUUUCGGCUCUCCUGAAAUGCAUUAGCAGAACAACCCUGUUCAUUGGUGUGAUAACUAUCUACGCUAUUGAAUGUGAAGGGCAGUUUGGCUUUCUAACAGUCUUUGGACAAUUCAUCAUUA
rnacentral:misc_RNA from 1 species